CACAGUGGUUGCCUAUGAUGGAGAAAGGAGAAUACGACCCUCCCAAAGGGUUCGAGGGAACUUUCUAGAGUGCUAGAAAUACUCUACAUCUUGACUGGGGGGGUGGAAGCAGAGUCUGCUUUCCUACGGAAUCCAGCUCCCAAAGGACACUUCAGGCAAGCGGAGGAAUUUGGAGUUGAGGUGGCCCUGGCUGGUGGAGGAAGUGUGCACGUGAGCCACAGACCAGAAGCCCUGAGCUCCAAGGCCAUGGCUGGCUGCCACCUGCCAUCUUGUGAGGCUGUGCAUUUAACCUCUCCCUGGCCCAGCUUCCUUGCAGUCUUAGGAUUCAAGGGGUUAAGGCACAUCAGAGCCUUUGAGAUAACCCAUGGACAAUUACAAUUACAAAUGCAGGUGUUGCUGCUAGGAUUGUCCUUUGUUCCCCCAGCAUCCAACUAAAAACAGUGGCCCCACAGGAGGAUAGAGUCACCCUCUAAGAGAAUGUGGUCUUUGCAAAAUAAAAGACGUCCUUUUAUUCACUCA